GUUCAUUUAUUUUCCUUAUAAAAUAUCUAAUUUUGAGGUUCAUUUACUUUCUAGUUGUAGCAGGCCCAAUUAGCCCGGGCCCUAUAAAAAACCCCAAACAGAAAAAUACAAUACACGAGCCCAAACAUUAACCCUAAGCCCAAAGUUAUAACAGCCCAACAAGCCCAAAAGUUUAAGCCAAAGCAAACCCUAGCCGCAUGUUCAGCUUAGCGUCGCAAGCUCCACCUCCAGCAUGCUCUCCAGGCGCCGCAGGACUCGGAGUCGACUGCCUCUGCACGCGUUGAAAUCUCCACGAUGCCUGCAAAAAAGCAAACUCAAAGAAUCUGAAGAGAAAAAACAACAGAGAAAACAAUUUUUAUUUGUUUUAUUUUCUUUUUUUCGGGCUAUAUAAAGCCAUAUUCUGUAAAGUGUAAAAUGGGGGAUUUUUCGGUGUAAAAUUUAUUCGAAAACAGAGAGAAUAUUGAGAAUACAAAGAAUAUUUUUCAAAAGGUGAUUAUUAGUCUUUUUAGAGUUAUUUUCUUUUUUUUUGUUUUGAUUUAGUGUUAAAAUAUACGGAAAAAAUAGAAAGGAAAGGCUUACCUUGGCGAGCCUCCGGCCAUUGGUUGCGGCCAAACCACGGCGGACAGAUAGCGGCGCAAGGAGCUGUGGCGAAACCCUAG
rnacentral:lncRNA from 1 species